CUUGCGACAGAGUGCCCGCCAUCAUGUUUUGUGGCCCCAGUGUUUUAAAGGGAUCCGUCGGGUGGCCCAUGCUGUUAGGGCCACCCGAUGGGUAUGGAUUUUCAGGGGGCCCGGUUAGCACUGGGUGCUUUAACAGCGUGACCGAGUCCCCUGUGAUGACAUCACAUGCUGGGAGGAAGUUACUGCCCCGGUCACUCCUCCCAGCUAUCAGAGAGCCGCGCGGAAGAAAGGAGAAGAGGGAGUCAAAGUAGGAACUCUGACUCCCAUCAAACUGAGCCACUACUGGACUCCAGGGAAAGUCACCCUCCUGCUCUUAAAAGGUAGGAAACAGGAGGGUGACUUAAAUAUUUUGUAUAUUUGUGUGUGUGUCUGUCUAUUUGUAUGUGUGUAUGUGUCUGUUUGUAUGUAUAUGUGUCUUGUGUGUGUGUGUGUAUGUAUGUGUGUCUGUAUGUAUGUGUGUGUCUGUUGGAAGGGGGGGGGCCCAUGGUUCAGUUUGGCACCGGGUCCCCGUGGAUUGUGUGUAUGCCACUGACUGGGACCGUAUCACCUGAAUACUGCUUAUAUUGUGACUGUAUCACCUAAACACUGCUUAUACUUAUCAGGAUCCAUAUGUCACUUUAAUCGGGGGGUGGGGGGAUAAAGUGUUGUAGAUAUAGUUCCCCAGUUUGAUCACGUCUAAAUUAUUAUACGUUAGACCAGGGGUGUCCAAACUUUUUUCAAAGAGGGCCAAAUUUGAUUAAGUGAACAUGCGUGAGGGCCAACCAUUUUGCCUGACAUUCUUUGAACCAUAAAAAAUGUAAGGCAAAUGAACAAUUUUUUGCAAAGUUUAUUGCAAACGGCAUACUUUUCAUUUCAUCUCUUCUGUCUGAGAUCUCUUUAUUUUGUCUCUUUACUCUGUCCCUUCUCUCUUUACUCUGUCCCUUCUCUCUUUACUCUGUCCCUUCUCUCUUUAGUCUGUCCCUUCUCUCUUUAGUCUGUCCCUUCUCUCUUUACUCUGUCCCUUCUUUCUUUAGUCUGCCAAUCUUUAUUCUGCCCCUCUGUAUCCUGCCAGUCUGCACCUCUGUACGCAGUCUGUAUUCUGCCUUUCUUUAGUCUUCCCCUCUGUAUUCUGCCCCAUUUUAUUCUGUCGAUUCUCUGCAGGGAGAAGGAACCAAAUCCCGCGAAUCCCAUGACGUCCAAGAGAUUGUGAGAAUGCAGACUGAGGUCACUGCACUCCCAUCUGCGUUUUUUGUGAUAUCUUGGCCCCCCACUGAAUCCCGGCGCGGGGGUUCACUGGGGGCCACAACAGGUAGAUUAGCCAAACUACCUGUGGGGCCGUAUUGAACCGGAAACGCUGGCCGCAAAUGGCCCGCGGGCUGGACUUUGGACAUG